rnacentral:rRNA from 1 species
GAUGAACGCUAGCGGCAGGCCUAAUACAUGCAAGUCGGACGGGAUCGGGGAGCUUGCUCCCCGUGAGAGUGGCGCACGGGUGCGUAACACGUAUGUAACCUACCUUUAUCAGGGGGAUAGCCUCUCGAAAGAGAGAUUAACACCGCAUAACAUCACAUGAUAGCGUUAUCGAGUGAUCAAAUAUUCAUAGGAUAAAGAUGGGCAUGCGGGACAUUAGCUAGUUGGCGGGGUAACGGCCCACCAAGGCGACGAUGUCUAGGGGAUCUGAGAGGAUGACCCCCCACACUGGUACUGAGACACGGGCCAGACUCCUACGGGAGGCAGCAGUAAGGAAUAUUGGUCAAUGGACGCAAGUCUGAACCAGCCAUGCCGCGUGCAGGAGGACGGCCCUACGGGUUGUAAACUGCUUUUGUACCGGAAUAAACCCUUUUACGUGUAAGAGGCUGAAUGUACGGUAAGAAUAAGGAUCGGCUAACUCCGUGCCAGCAGCCGCGGUAA